GUAGAUGUAGCUUAAUGGUAAAGCAUCAGAUUGUGGUUCUGAAGUAUGCUGGUUCAAAUCCAGUCAUCUACC
rnacentral:tRNA from 1 species